rnacentral:rRNA from 1 species
UACGUAGGUGGCAAGCGUUGUCCGGGUUUAUUGGGUUUAAAGGGUGCGUAGGCGGUCUUCUAAGUCAGUUGUGAAAUACUUCAGCUUAACUGGAGAGGUGCAAUUGAUACUGGAAGACUUGAGUACUGAUGAGGUAGGCGGAAUGGACGGUGUAGCGGUGAAAUGCUUAGAUAUCGUCCAAACACCGAUAGCGAAAGGCAGCUUACUAAGGAGUAACUGACGCUGAGGCACGAAAGUGUGGGGAUCAAACAGGG